GACGAACGCUGGCGGCGUGCCUAAUACAUGCAAGUCGAGCGGAGAUGUUGGAGCUUGCUCCAACAUCUUAGCGGCGGACGGGUGAGUAACACGUGGGCAACCUGCCCUGCAGACCGGGAUAACUCCGGGAAACCGGUGCUAAUACCGAAUAGUUUGCGGCCUCUCCUGAGGCUGCACGGAAAGACGGUUUCGGCUGUCACUGCAGGAUGGGCCCGCGGCGCAUUAGCUAGUUGGUGGGGUAAUGGCCCACCAAGGCGACGAUGCGUAGCCGACCUGAGAGGGUGAUCGGCCACACUGGGACUGAGACACGGCCCAGACUCCUACGGGAGGCAGCAGUAGGGAAUCUUCCGCAAUGGACGAAAGUCUGACGGAGCAACGCCGCGUGAGUGACGAAGGUUUUCGGAUCGUAAAACUCUGUUGUGAGGGAAGAACAAGUACCAAUUAACUACUGGUACCUUGACG
rnacentral:rRNA from 1 species